GAUGAAGAACGUAGCGAAAUGCGAUAAGUAAUGUGAAUUGCAGAAUUCAGUGAAUCAUCGAAUCUUUGAACGCACAUUGCGCCCAUUAGUAUUCUAGUGGGCAUGCCUGUUCGAGCGUCAUUAAUUCCACUUAAGCCCUGCUUAGUGUUGGGAAUCUACUCUAGUGGUGCUACCCUGGAGCUACCCCUGAAAGGGGGCUGGCCCGGUAGCUACCCUGUAGUUCCUCAAAGAUAGUGCGCGGAGUUGCGUGGUCCUCUGAGCUUAGUAACUAUACACCUAGCUUUUGAGUGUCACGCGGCGCCUGCCGUUUAAACCCCAUCUUUUAAUGGUUGACCUCGGAUCAGGUAGGAAUACCCGCUGAACUUAAGCAUAUCAAUAAGCGGAGGA
rnacentral:misc_RNA from 1 species